AUUUUACAUGAGAUUUGACAGGGACACAGACCCAGACCAUAUCAAUGGGCUUGAGGCAUGGAACAGAUCAUUCUUUGCACCUCAUGCUGUCUUCAUUUCUUCCCCCUCUGGAAAUGAGACCAAAUGUGAAGACUGUGGACACUUUCAGGCAGUGAGAAGAGGAACAAAUGGAGGAACAUCCCAGUCAAGUGACAUUCCUAGUGACAUUCACCAGAACAGAGUCAAGCUUUGGAUCCCAUGUUCUGUGACUUCCUCUUCACCACGCUUCCUCCACACACGUAGCAGCUCAAGGGUUUCUGAUGAGUGGGGUCUAUGUUCCCUUUAUGAGCUGUAACGCACACCAUGAAGGUCUGCGGCUUGGCUAUUGAGUCAGUGAGAGCGUGAACCUACUAUUAGAAGAAAAACUCUGAAUACGUCUGAACGUCAGAAAGAACGAAGUUUGGACACAUUGUCUUUAAGAACUGUAACACUCACCCCAAGGGUUUAUGGAUUCAUUCUUGAAAUCAGUGAAACCAAAAGCUUUCCAAAGUUUAACACACAGGGAAAUGACUUACUGCAAAGAACCACUCUUCCCCACGAGACUUCGAGAAGACCCGCUGUCACGGACUGAGUUGUGUCCUCUUAAAAUUCAGAUGUUGGAGUCCAAACCCCCAGUAACUCAGAGUGUGAACGUAUUUGAAGAGGUCUUUAAAGAGGUGAUGAAGGGAGAGAGACCCCAUGAGCUCGUCAAGCUCCUUCUGUGACUGAUCAGAGAUCCCACCGUGAGUCCAGCUCCUGGUCCCAUGCUCUGGAUAUAUCGGUCCCUGGCAGCGUGAGUGCCUCUGUGUUCACUGUCCCAUUUGAGAAUUCUAAGUAGAAUUCUGAACAGGCUGGAGCAGAUUGCCCACCCCAAGGGACAGAUGUUGGCUGGUACUGUUGGUAUUCAUGGAAGAUUCCUUCUGACACUCCCUCCUUCUUUGUAAUUGCCAUGAACUGGAGCACUGGGCCAAUAUAAAUCAUCCAAGGGUGAACACGCUGCACAUGGACGGCUCCUCUUUGUUUUUGAAGGGAUUCCAUCUCUAUUUUGCCAUGUGCUCCUUCACCCCACUCCCCACCCCCGUCUUUCAUUUCUUUCUCUGGAAAAGAUACUUCAACUCACAGGACUGCGAUGUUGAAACGGACACCCAAGAGCAUCACAGAUGGGCCAGGCCUGGACCUCUCGGGACAACAUUCCUCACGACUUUUAGAUAGAAGAGAUUAGAGAUUUGGGACUGGUGGCAACUGGUAACGUUUUCAGUGUUUGGUAAACAGCCAGGGUCCGGAGCUCUGGGAACAGCCUGAUUUAGCUCUUUGUUUAAGUUUUGUGUUAGAGGCUCCCAAGAAGCUGAUGCAGGGGAAAGAAAUUAACAACCAUGGCUCAUUCACAGCCAGGCAGCCAAAUGGACAGCUCUAUAAGACUCAAGCCGACAGCGGAGAGAGUGCAACCAAACAGCCUUGGCCCAGCUUUCAGAGGAGAACGUUAUUCACCCCAACUGCUCUGCAUCUGCCUGGAUGUCUGCCAAGAUCUGUGAGCAUUACAGCGUUGGUAUGCUUUGGGUGAGGCCUGUGGCUAUGGCAACAAGUUGGGAGCAACCCGGUCCCUGGGAAUGAGAACAGUGUCUAAAAUCAGGCAGGCGAGGGGCAGGGAGGAGAGGUAAAGGUUGGACUUGCCUGAAGAUGGAGCCGUUUUAUUGUUGUGGGUAAAGCUGCUACCAUUAGGGGCUGUUUACAGAGUGGGUGCAGCUCAAGCUGGGAGCAUGUUAGACUCAGCGACUACGAUCAACCUAUUGACUUGUUCCCAUGAGACAGAGUAAAUUAACUGUUGCAGUACUGGUCAUGUACCACCAACCUCCUGUGAACCAGCCCUCAGUGAAACAUUUAUGUGAAAGGCCAUGGUGUUCCCAUAAGAGGGUGCAUGUUCUCUCCCUUGACUAACUCUUCAGUAUGCCUCAUUCUCACGCGCUGGUGUGCAGGAAGGAGUCCAACAUGCCCCAUUGACAGUCAUGCCCUGUAUGUGGAAAGUCUUCAGGUAGAGCACUGGGCUCAGGUUUGAAGAUGUGAGUUCUAAUCCUAGCAAGGCCAUUACCUCCCAGUGACCUCAUGUCUCGAUUUCCUCAACCACAAAACAAAGGCAUUGGUGAGCUGACCUCUAAGGCCUCUCCAGUUCUCACCUUCUGUGUCUCUACAGACUGGAGACUAGAAGAUUAUGGGCACUUUUAUUGAGUCUUCAUUUUGUUUCCAUUUCUUUGUAGUCAUCAGCUGGAGUUGAGGACAAGUUUUAACAAUAGAUAGGUUUCUUUUUGUCUCUUUUUAAAAAAUUUUAUUUAAAAUAAAUGCCAAGUGUAGUGGCUCAUACCUGUAAUCCCAGCACUUUGGGGAGGCCAAGGUGGGAGGAUUGCUUUUGAGUUUGAGACCAGCCUGGGCAACGUGGUGAGACCCUGUUUGUACAAAAAAUUUUAAAUUAGCCAGGCAUGGUGGCGUGUGCCUAUAGUCCUAGCUACUCUGGAGGUAGAGGCAGGAGGAUCCCUUGAACCUGGGAGGUUGAGGCCACAGUGAGCUGUGAUUGUGCUAUUGAACUCUAGCCUGGGCAACAGAGCAAGACCCUGUCUCUUAAAAAAGACUAUUUUUUAAGAACACUUUUAGGUUCACAGCGAAAUUUGGAGGAAACUUGGCAUAUGUCAUAUGCCCCCUGCUCCCAUGCAUGCACAGCCUCUACCAUUAGCAAUGUCCCCACUCAAAUGGUACCUUUGUUGUAAUCAACAACCCUGUACUGACACAUCAUCAUCACCCAAACUCCAUAGUUCACAUUAGGUUUCACUCUUGGUGUGGUGUACAUUCCAUGGGCUUGAACAACUGUAUAAUGACAUUAUCCACCACUGCAGGAUCAUACAGAGUAGUCUCACUGCCCUAAAACUACUCUGUGCUCCACCUGUUUGUCCCUUCUUUCACUCUAAACUCCUGGCAACAACUGACCUUUUUACUGCCUCGAUAGCUUUGCCUUCUUCGGAAUGUCAUGUAGUUGAAAUCAUACAUCAUGAAGCCUUUUCAGAUUGGCUUCAUAUAGGUUUCCUUCCUUCCUUCCUCCCACCACCUUCCUUUCUUUCUGUAUUCCUAACUCUUGGAUGUAUUUUCCCCAGCAUCAUGACUUGAUGGGACUUUUGCUAAGAUAGGCAAUCAUAGAAAGUCAUAAAUCUCUUGUCAGCCUUAUUGGCUCACCUCCGAGAUGGUUCCAACACUCUUUAAGGCCCACUUUUCCAAUCCACAGAUUCCCCAGCAGAAGUCCAAGCUGCUGAGCCUCACAUCAUCUUUUGCACUAGUAAUCUUUACCACUACUUCACUGUAGCAUUUGAAAAUUUUCAUAUGAAGCCAUAGUUCUGUGUCUUUUUUUUUUUUUUUUUUUUUUUGGAGACGGAGUCUUAACCUGUUGCCCAGGCUGGAGUGCAGUGGCACAGUCUUAGCUCACUGCAAGCUCCGCCUCACGGGUUCAAGUGAUUCUUGCCUCAGCCUCCCAAGUAGCUGGGAUUACAGGCGCGCCACCAUGCCCAGCUAAAUUUGUUGGCAUUUUUAGUAGAGAUGGGGUUUCACCAUGUUGGCC
rnacentral:lncRNA from 10 species